GACGAACGCUGGCGGCGUGCCUAGUACAUGCAAGUCGAACGAACCGCGACUGAGUGCUUGCACUUGGUCAAGGUGAGUGGCGAACGGGUGAGUAACACGUGGGUAACCUACCUCAUAGUGGGGGAUAACAGUCGGAAACGACUGCUAAUACCGCAUAGGACAUGGAAUCACAUGAUUCUGUGAGGAAAGGUGGCGCAAGCUAUCGCUAAGAGAUGGACCCGCGGUGCAUUAGCUAGUUGGUAGGGUAAGGGCCUACCAAGGCGAUGAUGCAUAGCCGACCUGAGAGGGUGAUCGGCCACAUUGGGACUGAGACACGGCCCAAACUCCUACGGGAGGCAGCAGUAGGGAAUCUUCCGCAAUGGACGCAAGUCUGACGGAGCAACGCCGCGUGAGUGAAGAAGGUCUUCGGAUCGUAAAGCUCUGUUGUUAGAGAAGAACAGCGCAUAGAGUAACUGUUAUGCGUGUGACGGUAUCUAACCAGAAAGCCACGGCUAACUACGUG
rnacentral:rRNA from 1 species